rnacentral:rRNA from 1 species
AUUGAACGCUGGCGGCAUGCCUAACACAUGCAAGUCGAACGAGUGGCGGACGGGUGAGUAAUGUCUGGGAAACUGCGUGAUGGAGGGGGAUAACUACUGGAAACGGUAGCUAAUACUGCAUAACAUCAGAUGUGCCCAGAUGGGAUUAGCUUGUUGGUGUGGUAACGGCUCACCAAGGCGACGAUCCCUAGCUGGUCUGGGAGGCUGACCAGCCACACUGGGACUGAGACACGGUCCAGACUCCUACGGGAGGCAGCAGUGGGGAAUCUUGCGCAAUGGGCGCAAGCCUGACGCAGCCAUGCCGCGUGUAUGAAGAAGGCUUUCGGGUUUUAAAGUACUUUCGGCGGGGAGGCGUUACCCGAAGAAGAAGCAACGGCUAACUACGUGCCAGCAGCCGCGGUAAUUC